rnacentral:lncRNA from 1 species
UUUUCAAAACAUAAAAUGAGAAGCUUGGGUAAAGCGGUUCAACUACUUUGUAACAGCGAUCCAGAUAUGUUUAAUUAUAUAAUUCCACCUUAUGUAAUAAUGCUGUAUUUUGAUUGGAUGAGAACCAUGGUAUUUUUCACCAAUUUCUAUUUAUUGAGAUUUUCUUUUCUCUGCCGGGGUAUUUGCCAUUAGGGAAUUCCAUAUGCCGGGGUAUUUGCUAGCAAAUUCCAUGGCAGAUGGGAAAUACCCUAGCAAAUACCAUGGCAGAUGGGGAAUACCAUGUCUAAAAAUAACUCAAUGAAUUAUUUCUGUUCUAAUAUGACAAAUUCAUGGUCAUUCUAAAUAUAUGGUUCCAGAUGAAAUAUUUAGGAUAAAAAGCAUCAUUAUUGAAUUUUGACCGAAUGACGUAAAAAUUCCGGGAAUGACGUCAUAAAUAAAACUCAACGAAUUGUCAACCGGUCACAUAAAACUGGAAUCCACAAUAGCUCAGCUGCAGUGUAUACAAAAAUUAUACAUUCAAGUCGAAAUUUUAUAUGAUACUUGAUUAUAAUAAACUCUUUGAGGUGGAACAUUCGGUGGAAUUAAACAAUUAUAUCAUGCUUACAAGGGGUAUUUGCCAAAAAUACCGGUUUCGAGGUAAUCAAAUUUCCCUCGCCUAACGGC